UCUCCGUUGGUGAACCAGCGGAGGGAUCAUUACCGAGUACUAUAACUCAUAACCCUUUGUGAACCUUUAUACCUGUUGCUUCGGCGGCGCGCCCUCCGGGGCGUGCCCGCCGGUAUCAUCAGAAUCUCUGUUUGAACCCGACGAUACAUCUGAGUGUUCUAAGCGAACUGUUAAAACUUUCAACAACGGAUCUCUUGGCUCCA
rnacentral:misc_RNA from 1 species